rnacentral:rRNA from 1 species
AUUGAACGCUGGCGGAAUGCUUUACACAUGCAAGUCGAACGAGAUCUUCGGGUCUAGUGGCGCACGGGUGCGUAACGCGUGGGAAUCUGCCCUUUGGUUCGGAAUAACAGUUGGAAACGACUGCUAAUACCGGAUGAUGACGAAAGUCCAAAGAUUUAUCGCCAGAGGAUGAGCCCGCGUAGGAUUAGCUAGUUGGUGUGGUAAAGGCGCGCCAAGGCGACGAUCCUUAGCUGGCCUGAGAGGAUGAUCAGCCACACUGGGACUGAGACACGGCCCAGACUCCUACGGGAGGCAGCAGUGGGGAAUAUUGGACAAUGGGCGAAAGCCUGAUCCAGCAAUGCCGCGUGAGUGAUGAAGGCCUUAGGGUUGUAAAGCUCUUUUACCCGGGAUGAUAAUGACAGUACCGGGAGAAUAAGCUCCGGCUAACUCCGUGCCAGCCGCCGCAGUAA